rnacentral:rRNA from 1 species
UACGAAGGGGGCUAGCGUUGCUCGGAAUCACUGGGCGUAAAGGGUGCGUAGGCGGGUUUCUAAGUCAGAGGUGAAAUCCUGGAGCUCAACUCCAGAACUGCCUUUGAUACUGGAAGUCUUGAGUAUGGGAGAGGUGAGUGGAACUGCGAGUGUAGAGGUGAAAUUCGUAGAUAUUCGCAAGAACACCAGUGGCGAAGGCGGCUCACUGGCCCGGUACUGACGCUGAGGUGCGAAAGCGUGGGGAGCAAACAGG